UAUGGCUUAGUGGUGGAGUGUGUGCUUGGCACGCACAAAGCCCUGGGUUUGAUCCCCAGUA
rnacentral:tRNA from 1 species